rnacentral:rRNA from 1 species
GAUGAACGCUAGCUACAGGCUUAACACAUGCAAGUCGAGGGGUAACGAGAGGAAAGCUUGCUUUCCUUGUUGACGACCGGCGCACGGGUGAGUAACGCGUAUCCAACCUGCCCCCAACUAGGGAAUAACCUUGCGAAAGUAAGACUAAUACCCUAUAAUUUCCUCAGAUGUCAUCUGACGAGGAAUAUAGAUUUAUCGGUUGUGGAUGGGGAUGCGUCUGAUUAGCUUGUUGGCGGGGUAACGGCCCACCAAGGCAACGAUCAGUAGGGGUUCUGAGAGGAAGGUCCCCCACAUUGGAACUGAGACACGGUCCAAACUCCUACGGGAGGCAGCAGUGAAGAAUAUUGGUCAAUGGGCGGUAGCCUGAACCAGCCAAGUAGCGUGCAGGAUGACGGCCCUAUGGGUUGUAAACUGCUUUUAUACAGGAAUAAAGUUAGCCACGUGUGGUUAUUUGUAGGUACUGUAUGAAUAAGGACCGGCUAAUUCCGUGCCAGCCGCCGCAGUAA